UUAUGGUGGCGGCGCGCGGACUCUGUCGGUGCUCGAACUGUCUUUAGCUCCAGUUUUUGGUGUUUGCGAUGACAGGUUAGCGCUCUGUGACAGCGUAGAAUCAUCCUUCCUACUGGAGUUGAACUGGAGAGUUUGUCACAUUUAGGCAAGCUACAUGCCACCGCGGCUUCGUGACAGGUUCCCAACCACGCGACUCGACCGGCGUUUAGAACGCUUUGCUUCCGCUCAUUUCUGCAGGUGCUUGGCCGUGGCUUUUUUGGAACACUGCAGUUGUUGGUAAAUCUUAAAAACCGCGGAAGUAUCCUUCAGCCUACUACUACGCAUAAGAUGUGAUAUGCGCAUAAGUGACCGUCAAGACUCCCGGAAUGAUGACCGUGCACGCGUAUUCUCCAACAUCCAGAAUCUUUCUGCCAACGUCGAUUACCAGUCCACCUCCCCUGCGCUUUCGCAUCGAUAACUUUAACACAGAUAACUGCCAUCGUGCGUGCUAGCAAACCCCGCCUAGCAUGAACGGCGGGGAAUAUAGCAAGCACUAUGACAGGGAUGGUAGGUGGCUGAGGUGGUAACGGUAAGCCAUAGCACUAUGCCAAACCGCCUCGCACUUUGUUCAGUCUUUUCUUGUCGCAAUGACCAUGUAUGCAUCAGAUUGCGGGUGUAAAAUACACAACCUUUGGAAGUCGUAAGGUCUGCCAUGAUCUGUAAAGUCAUGCCAUGCCGUAUAUUAAAUCGUACCCCCUUUAAACACCAGUUACUUCUGUCGGUUGGAAAUUAGCACAUAUUUCUUGCAUAUGCAGCAUCAUUAAAAACAAGCAGUGCCGCAGCAUUUUUAAAUUCACUGUGUUGUGUACAAAUAAUUUUGGCCUGCGUCUGAACACCAAAAUGUAUUUCAGGUACAGUACUGAAAUUGUCGCACAUGCAGCUAGUGUACCUAGUGAACGCAAACAAUUCAAAAAUUUGCCUGACGUAAAUAAGAAAUAUAGCCGAACAUCCGGCUACAUGACCGCAUACUGGCACUACUAGCAGUGAUGAUCUGUACUUCACAGAAUUUCCAUUCCUAGACACAAAAAUUGUCUGUUUUCAGCCCUUUUCCCCGCAUAAUUCUGAGAAUCCGUAAAUUUCUCGGUGCAUACAUACACUAGAUAUAAUCCUCGAAAAAGUACUUUGCCAACCCUGAUUAUUAGACGUGAAACAUGCGGUGAAACAUUGCACAGUUUAUGCAACGUUUCGGUCGACAGUAUAAUGAUGAACUUAAUUUCUAAUGUGGCUUCCUGUUCAGUUCCAGAUGUCUAUUCCACGUAGUUGGAGCAUUAGUAUCUACUACUACUAAAGUAGUCGUAGUAGUAGUAGCAGUAGAUACUACUACGAUAAAAAGCCCUGCCGCUUUUGAGCAAUUCUUAGUAGUUUAACUUAUCAAAUAGUCACACAAAAGUCUGCAGUUCACAUUUAAUUGUAUGAAACAGCAUUUCGACUUUUCAACCAUGCAGACUACGAGAAUCUAAAAUUGACUGACUUAGUUCUAGUUAAGCCCGUGCACCGACAUGAGUUGUGGAUCGAUGAUAUGAUGUUCUUUUUACUGGCAUCAGUUUAAUAUUUACUCCACGAGUCUUAAAACUCCCUUUGCUCCAAAAUUAUGGCCUGAAAGUUCCAGAAAAAGGGAAAAUUCCUUGCGUGGAACAUCACCGACUACUAGUAAAAGCCCGUGUCAGUCUACCAGCUCUUCUUUAUGACACACUUUAAGCUCAUUUGCAGCGCAGGUAUGAUCAGCAUUGCCAUAAGAUCCACAUGGCACAUCUUAAACUUUAUCACUUUCAUUAGUGUUAAUGAUUCUGCAGAUUUAUUUCUUAGUAGAUGUUUGCAUACGCGGUGCCCGAAGGUGAUUGGUUGUUGCUUGCGUUUUCUACACAUGGCAAAAUGUUCAGGUCUGCCAGUUAGGAUUGAAUGCAAACAGUACCUGAUAGGGCCCAUUGCUUCCAGGACACAGUCAUUGUUGCCUAGUGCAGUGCAAAAACAAACAAAGGUAGAAGAAUACAGAAACGGCGCGACACAGGACAAGUAUAGAGCACAGGACAGGGUGCUGACUAACAACCAAAUACUUUAUUUCCAGAAGCGGCAUAUAAAGACAUCAUUGAAUGUCACACAAAAGAAAUAAAAAGAGAAAGAAAAAGAAGGUUAAGUGUUAGCCACGAAGAUAAUCCAGUUCUUUUGUUGACAGCGUGACAGCCCUGUCCUGUGCUCUUUACUUGUCCUGUGUCGCGCUUUUUCUGUAUUUUUCGAAUGAUGAACCAACCAUCCCCUUUGAACAUGCUGUUAAACAAAGGUACAUCAUUGCAAGUGUGCAGUAGCUCAUAAGAAAAAAAGGAACCGGAAUAUUCACUAAUCAUGGAAAAGACAUGACUAAGGCCAAAGGCACAACAAAUGCUUUUAUGUUUGUUCAAUCUCUCCCAUUUUCUGCAGACUUCUGGGUAGCCCUAUCUAGGCAGCUGUAUCCAUAGGAAUUGCAGGCAUGUUAGGAAUUUCAGAGAAGAACACAGAACUCGGUCUCUCUUACUCAUUGAUGUAUUAACAGCAGACAUGCAAAUGACAGCGAUUACGACUAUUGAGUCGGGUAAACAUACCCUAAGAGCUUAAUGCACUUUCUUGUGACAUCUUAUGAAUGUGUUGACAUAGGUAACUUUAAACAUGCUUUGCAUUAUGCGGAACAUUUUGUACAAACUCAAAUUUAUAUUGACUGCUGAUCAGCUUUGAACCUGGAUUAUUUCUGGCCGAAAAAAAAAAAGAACCCUUAGCCACCAAGCAUACCUAUGACAUGUGAAGCCGCCUCUAUGAAACUCUUGACAUGCCAGCUUCACUGGUUACUCAGUCUAUGUCUGACAGCUAAAAGCAAAAGCCUUGCACUAGGUUGAAAAAUGAGCUUGUUGGUGCAUUGAAAUUUUUGGAACAGUGCUAAAUGACGGGACAAGAAAACACCCAUGUGUUGUCUUGUUUAGUGCUGUUCCAAAGGUUGUGCUGGGUCUAGUGUUAUCAAGUGUCAUUGUGGCCUAUUUGAACUGUAUUCAGUUGUGCACAACCAUUUGAAAGUCACUAAAAUGCAUUCACACCAUAAUGCAUUUUCCCUCCUUUCAGUGUUAGCUGCUCCAGGAAAGAAAGACAAGGAGGCACGGAGAUGCAGUAAUCUCUCCCCGCUGGACAGUCAUCUUAAGAUGCUAUGUUUACGCUAUGUUUACAUUAGCUAUUAAUAAUAGCAGUAUUUAUGUGUUACUUUACAGUAGAUGACCAUUUUCCCCUAUUGCGUGUACAAAGCACACUGCAUGUUGUAUUAAGUGUUCAGCUCAGUGAUGGGUUUAAAACCCUAGUGUCUGGUUUUUGCCGCAUAUUCGUAAUUAUUCUCCAUCUUGUCUUGUUUCCGAGUCUCUACUAUAGUCGGCAAUGGGUCAACAACGCAGUGCCAACUGUCUCUCAAAGAGAGCAGCUAUACGUGCAGCUGUUAACAACCUCGUGUUGUUCGUCUUCUUCCUUCUUGCUAUGCACAUUCCCACUUUUGCCUUGCUCAAGUGUUGUCGUGUCACAAGCCUUCUUACUCAGGCCGGCAAAGGGUUGUUCGUUCAUGAAGUACAGAAGAUACCGCCGCAGUAGCCCACUGGAUACGGCGUUGCUCUGCUGAACUCAAGGACCACACGAUGAUGGUGUACAGAGGAUCGUAGAGAGGAAGUGAAGCCCGAUAUUUAGAGAUGAACUGCAG